GACGGCGACGCCGGGGACGAUGGGCACUCGGUGCCCGAGGGGGACAUGUACCGCUACAGCGAGGACGAGGACUCGGAGGGCGAGGACAAGAGCGACGGCGAGCUGGUGGUGCUGACGGACUGAGGGGACACAGGGGGACAGUGGCAGGGCUGGCUGACACCUCUGGGUGUGUCCUGGUGUGGUGCCACGUGCCCACACGGAGCUGCCCACCUGGGAUUUUGGGUGGCAAGGACUGGCUUGGCCUUGCUUUGGUGGCACGUGGAGCCGAGGCCAGCGAGCCUGGAGAUCUGGUGACACUGUGGCUGCUGCGCUGUCACCCCUGAGGGGACCUGAGGCUCUCGGGCUGUAGGGAACCCCCAGAGCAUCUCCAGCCCUGCAGCACCUGUGGGUCAUGGAGAGCCUCACCUGCUGCACUGCUGGGCACGGGAUGGGGACACAGAAUGGGGACAGAGAAUGGGGACACAAGACAGGGACACAGGACAGGGACAUGGGAUGGUGAUACAAGACAGGGACACAGGACAGGGACACAGGACGGGGACACAGGACAGGCACACGGGAUGGAGACACAGGACAGGGACAUGGGAUGGGGACACAGGACAGGGACACGCUGGUCCCUCCUCUAUCCUGGUGUGACCUCCCCUCCGCGUUUCCCGCUCGCUCUUUGGCUCCUGCCAGCGAAUUCCCACCGAGCCAAUUUUAGCUCCAGCCUGGCCCCAGCUCCAGCCAAAGGCUCCUCAGGGCUCUUUGUGCUGCCGGCAGCUCUGGCCCAGUUUGGGAAUAAAGCAGGGGCUGUUCCUGCCCUGCCAGCCCUCCCUCGGGGGGGACGUGCCCGCCUGUGCUCGGGCACCUGGCACUGCAGCCUGGGCUGCACCUGAGCCCUGAGGGGUGAGAGGGAGGGACAAGGAACGGCUGUGAGCGGAAAGGAGUGAUGAGAAAAAAUGAGCUUGGUGUGGUCAGAGCCUGCUCCGGGGGCUGGGGUGUGGCUGGGCAGGGGGGUGUCCAGGUGAGAGUUGGAGGUGUCCAGGUCCAGGUGAGUGGCAGUGCCCNUGGGCAGGGUGGGGUCAGUGGGGUGGGGUGACCAAUGGCAUUGAUGGGUGCCCAUGGGGUGGGUUGAGUGGUCAGUGAGGUGACCACUGGCACUAACAGGUGCCUAUGGGGGUCAGUGGGGUGACCACUGGCACUGAUGGGUGCCCAUAGGGGUGGGUUGAGUGGUCAGUGGGGUGACCAAUGGCACUGACAGGGGGUGGGUUGAGUGGUCAGCAGAUUGACCACUGGCACUGAUAGGUGGCCAUGGGGGUGGGUGCUGUGAGUGGUCAGUGGAGUGACCAUUGGCACUGACGGGUGACCAUAGGAGUGGACACUGAGUGGUCAGUGAGGUGACCACUGGCACUAACAGGUGCCUAUGGGGGUCAGUGGGGUGACCAUUGGCACUGACGGGUGACCAUAGGAGUGGACACUGAGUGGUCAGUGAGGUGACCACUGGCACUGAUGGGUGCCCUUAGGGGUGCGUGCUAUGAGUGACCAGUGAGGUGACCAAUGGUACUGACAGGUGCACUUAGGGAUGGGUGCUAUGAGUGGUCAGCGGAGUGACCAAUGGCAUGGAUGGGUGCCCAUAGGGGUGGGUUGAGUGGUCAGCAGAGUGGUCACAGGUUCCUGUAGGGGUCAGUGCUGUGAGUGGUCAGUGGAAUGACCAAUGGCACUGAUGGGUACCAAUGGGUGGGGGUGAUGUGUGAGUGGUCAGCAGUGGUCAGUGGAGUGACCACUGGCACUGACAGGUGCCCAUGGGGAUGGGUGCUAUGAGCGACCAGUGAGGUGACCACUGGCACUGAUGGGUGCCCAUAGGGGUGCAUGCUGUGAGUGGUCCGUGAGGUGACC
ensembl:lncRNA